AUUAGAGUUUGAUCAUGGCUCAGAUUGAACGCUGGCGGCAUGCCUUACACAUGCAAGUCGAACGGUAACAGGUCUUCGGAUGCUGACGAGUGGUGAACGGGUGAGUAAUACAUCGGAACGUGCCCGAGAGUGGGGGAUAACGAAGCGAAAGCUUUGCUAAUACCGCAUACGAUCUCAGGAUGAAAGCAGGGGACCGCAAGGCCUUGCGCUCACGGAGCGGCCGAUGGCAGAUUAGGUAGUUGGUGGGAUAAAAGCUUACCAAGCCGACGAUCUGUAGCUGGUCUGAGAGGAUGACCAGCCACACUGGGACUGAGACACGGCCCAGACUCCUACGGGAGGCAGCAGUGAGGAAUCUCCCACAAUGGGCGAAAGCCUGAUGGAGCAACGCCGCGUGCAGGAUGAAGGCCUUCGGGUUGUAAACUGCUUUUAUAAGUGAAGAAUAUGACGGUAACUUAUGAAUAAGCACCGGCUAACUACGUGCCAGCAGCCGCGGUAAUAAU
rnacentral:rRNA from 1 species